AGUGAACGCUGGCGGCAGGCCUAAUACAUGCAAGUCGAACGGCAGCACAGCAGAGCUUGCUCUGUGGGUGGCGAGUGGCGGACGGGUGAGGAAUACAUGGGAAUCUGCCCAGUCGUGGGGGAUAACGUAUGGAAACGUACGCUAAUACCGCAUGCGCCCUACGGGGGAAAGUCGGGGACCGCAAGGCCUGACGCGAUUGGAUGAGCCCAUGUUCGAUUAGCUAGUUGGCGGGGUAACGGCCCACCAAGGCGACGAUCCGUAGCUGGUCUGAGAGGAUGAUCAGCCACACUGGAACUGAGACACGGUCCAGACUCCUACGGGAGGCAGCAGUAGGGAAUAUUGGACAAUGGGCGCAAGCCUGAUCCAGCCAUGCCGCGUGAGUGAAGAAGGCCCUCGGGUUGUAAAGCUCUUUUGUCCGGAAAGAAAAGCACUGGGUUAAUACCCCGGUGUCCUGACGGUACCGGAAGAAUAAGCA
rnacentral:rRNA from 1 species